rnacentral:rRNA from 1 species
AUGAACGUUGGCGGCGUGGAUUAGGCAUGCAAGUCGAGCGAGAACCCCGCAAGGGGGGACAGCGGCAAACGGGGUAGUAACGGGUAGGUGACGUACCCUCGGGUUGGGGAUAGCCACGGGAAACUGUGGGUAAUACCCAAUAAUCUCCUGAUACGUGAUGGUAUUGGGAGCAAAGGUGUGAUUCCACCGGAGGAGCGGCCUGCUUCGUAUUAGCUAGUUGGUGAGGUAACGGCUCACCAAGGCAACGAUGCGUAGGGGGUGUGAGAGCAUGACCCCCACCACUGGGACUGAGAUACUGCCCAGACACCUACGGGUGGCUGCAGUCGAGAAUCUUCGGCAAUGGGCGCAAGCCUGACCGAGCGACGCCGCGUGUGGGAUGAAGGCCCUUGGGUUGUAAACCACUGUCAGAGGGGAUGAAGUGCAGGAGAGUUAUCUCUCCUGUUUGACAUAGCCUCAGAGGAAGCACGGGCUAAGUUCGU